rnacentral:rRNA from 1 species
UACGUAGGGGGCUAGCGUUGUCCGGAAUCAUUGGGCGUAAAGAGCGUGUAGGCGGUCCGGUAAGUCCGCUGUGAAAGUCGGGGGCUCAACCCUCGAAUGCCGGUGGAUACUGUCGGGCUAGAGUGCGGAAGAGGCGAGUGGAAUUCCUGGUGUAGCGGUGAAAUGCGCAGAUAUCAGGAGGAACACCGGUGGCGAAGGCGGGUCUCUGGGCCGAAACUGACGCUGGGGAGCGAAAGCGUGGGGAGCGAACAGG